AAAUUGAGUGUUAGCGCCUUGAAAUUGGAAUUCGAAAAAUGUAUCAUACCAGGACUCGGUAGCUGAAGGCCUGACAGCUGAGAAAAAGGCCGCCACAAAUUCUUGAAAUCUCUCUUUUUGGUGAAAUCAAUCCCUCUCUCAACAUUGAUAAUUGAGCAGCAUUGAGACUGCUUCUCAUGGGAGCGUUGCAUUGGCCGGGGCGUCGGUCUUGCAAUUCAUAGAGAGACGUGGUUGUGAGCACCUUCAACCUGAUGAGCUAUAAGCUCGAAAUCCGGACGGUUGAAAACAGCUGUGAGCCAUCCAUUAAUGGCCUUUGAUCUCAUGGCCCUGUCUGACAAUCCCAUCCAAAGGCCACUCGAUUUUUUAGACUGUGACGAGCCUGUGGACCACAAAGGAAACAAGACUGCCAAAGAAGAAGCAGGAUAUGGUUGUGUUAAGUUCGGCAAUUACAGAUAUGAAGAUGUUGAACGUGCAAAAGUGCAGUGCAUUGUUCUUCCCAAUAUAGAAUGCCAUGGGCCUAGGACUUUUUAUAAAGACGGCUUCCCUUGUAUUAAAUAUGGAGGGCAUUACUUCGUGACGACGCUGAUGUACAGCAUACUCCUCGGUUUCCUCGGCAUGGACAGGUUUUGCCUUGGGCAGACUGGCACUGCCGUCGGCAAGCUGCUCACACUGGGUGGCGUCGGCAUCUGGUGGGUCGUCGACAUCAUCCUGCUCGUUACAAACGGGCUGCUGCCGGAAGACGGAAGCAACUGGAACGCGUACGCCUAAGGAAAAAAGUUAAAAAACAAAAGCCAAGAUUACCCAAGACAUUUCUCCAAUUGGCAAAGGAGAGUUAGGUAUCUGGAAAUAGUUCGGCCAGAUUGAUAUUGAAUAUCUAUGUUCACCUAUAAACGUCUGACGAGAAUUAGAAUUAACGGGAGACGAGUUGUCGAGGUUUAAAAAAUAAAAAACUAAGGCUAAUCCAAGCGGACUGAAAUGUCAAGUUUACAGUUUGAACAACCACAGUAGUACGAAGAGAAAAAAAAUCCUCAUAUUGCAACA